UACGUAGGGACCAAGCGUUGUUCGGAUUUACUGGGCGUAAAGGGCGCGUAGGCGGCAAUUCAAGUCAGCUGUGAAAUCUCCGGGCUUAACUCGGAACGGUCAAGUGAUACUGUCGGACUAGAGUACAGAAGGGGCAACUGGAAUUCUCGGUGUAGCGGUGAAAUGCGUAGAUAUCGAGAGGAACACCUGCGGCGAAGGCGGGUUGCUGGGCUGAUAACUGACGCUGAGGCGCGGAAAGCCAGGGGAGCGAACGGG
rnacentral:rRNA from 1 species